CCCUUUUUCUCCACCAUGUCACGUUGUUUUGAAAAUAAACCUUCAACCCGCCGCCAUGGAUCGGAGGGCUCAACCGGGAGGCAGGUUAACGGUGAGGCUGGGCUGGGUGCCGUCCCAUCAUGCCGAGCGACGUGAUGAAGGCUGUCUGGAGAUGAUCUACACUUCUAAACUAACAGUCUGACUGUUGGCUGUUCAGUCAAACACUGUCUCUGCGGCAGCUACUGAGCUCUGGAAGAACUGAAGGCUGCUGCUGGGCACUUAAACGCACCAUCACACCCACUAAGGAAGUCUAUUGAACAAACGCAGCGCCCCUGUUUACCAAUAGGAGAUUGGCGUGGGUUCCCCCAAUGCCCCGCCCUCUUCAACACCAA